CAGCUAGUUGGUGAGGUAACGGCUCACCAAGGCUUUGAUCGGUAGCCGGUCUGAGAGGAUGGCCGGCCACACUGGAACUGAGACACGGUCCAGACUCCUACGGGAGGCAGCAGUGGGGAAUAUUGCGCAAUGGGCGAAAGCCUGACGCAGCGACGCCGCGUGGGGGAUGAAGCUUCUCGGAGUGUAAACCCCUUUCGACCCGGACGAAUGACCCGCAAGGGUUUGACGGUACGGGUAUAAGAAGCCCCGGCUAACUACGUGCCAGCAGCCGCGGUAAUACGUAGGGGGCCAGCGUUGCUCGGAAUUACUGGGCGUAAAGGGUUCGUAGGUGGUGCGGUAAGUUGGAAGUGAAAUCUCUGGGCUUAACCCAGAGGCUGCUUUCAAAACUGUCGCGCUCGAGUGCGAGAGAGGUCAGUGGAAUUGCAGGUGUAGCGGUGAAAUGCGUAGAUAUCUGCAGGAACACCCGUGGCGAAGGCGGCUGACUGGAUCGCAACUGACACUGAGGAACGAAAGCUAGGGGAGCAAACAGGAUUAGAUACCCUGGUAGUCCUAGCC
rnacentral:rRNA from 1 species